AUAUAAAAUCUACAGAGAGCUUUAAAAAGUUCCGACCGCGGGCGUUGUUUUGAGCAUCACUGAUCUAAACACUCAAAAUUCGUAUCAUAAA